GUUUUUGUAGUUGAAUACAACAUUGACUUUUCAGGUCGGGAGUCUCGGUUAAAAUCCGGGUGAAAAUA
rnacentral:tRNA from 1 species